GGAUUCCCCUAGUAACUGCGAGUGAAGCGGGAAGAGCUCAAAUUUAAAAUCUGGCAGUCUUCUGGCUGUCCGAGUUGUAAUCUGGAGAAGCGUUUUCUGUGUUAGACCGUGUACAAGUCUCCUGGAACGGAGCGUCAUAGAGGGUGAGAAUCCCGUCCAUGACACGGACUACUAAUACUUUGUGAUACGCUCUCGAAGAGUCGAGUUGUUUGGGAAUGCAGCUCAAAAUGGGUGGUAAAUUCCAUCUAAAGCUAAAUACAGGCGAGAGACCGAUAGCGAACAAGUACCGUGAGGGAAAGAUGAAAAGCACUUUGGAAAGAGAGUUAAACAGUACGUGAAAUUGUUGAAAGGGAAACGCUUGAAGUCAGUCGUGUUGUGCAGAACUCAGCCUUGCCUCGGCUUGGUGUACUUUCUGCACAACGGGUCAACAUCAAUUUUGGCCCAUGGAGAAAGGUGGGGGGAAUGUAGCGCUGUUUCGGCAGCGUGUUAUAGCCCUCUAUUGUAUACAUGGGCUGGGAUUGAGGAUUGCAGCACGCCCUUGUGGCCGGGGGUUCGCCCUACGUACCGUGCUUAGGAUGUUGGCAGAAUGGCUUUAAGCGACCCGUCUUGAAACACGGACCAAGGAGUCUAACAUGCUUGCGAGUGUUCGGGUGGAAAACCCUUGUGCGUAAUGAAAGUGAAAGUUGGGAACCUCCGCAAGGGGGUGCACCGACGCCCGGCCCUGACGUUCUCUGACGGUGCUGCGGUAGAGCAAGUAUGCUAGGACCCGAAAGAUGGUGAACUAUGCCUGAAUAGGGCGAAGCCAGAGGAAACUCUGGUGGAGGCUCGUAGCGAUUCUGACGUGCAAAUCGAUCGUCAAAUUUGGGUAUAGGGGCGAAAGACUAAUCGAACCAUCUAGUAGCUGG
rnacentral:rRNA from 1 species